rnacentral:rRNA from 1 species
CUUUGGACAAUGGUAGGAGAGCGUUCUAAGGGCGUUGAAGCAUGAUCGUAAGGACAUGUGGAGCGCUUAGAAGUGAGAAUGCCGGUGUGAGUAGCGAAAGACGGGUGAGAAUCCCGUCCACCGAUUGACUAAGGUUUCCAGAGGAAGGCUCGUCCGCUCUGGGUUAGUCGGGUCCUAAGCUGAGGCCGACAGGCGUAGGCGAUGGAUAACAGGUUGAUAUUCCUGUACCACCUAUAAUCGUUUUAAUCGAUGGGGGGACGCAGUAGGAUAGGCGAAGCGUGCGAUUGG